AUGAACCGGCAAUGGAUGUACGGUUCAAGACACACCUCCGAGUACAUUAAGGGCGUGCAUGAGUUUCUCAAAGUGGCUGAGGCAAACAAGCAGAAUGGUUUUAUGUGUUGUCCAUUCCCUAUAUGUGGGAAUACGAAGUCUUACUCUGACCGGAAAAUCCUUCACACCCACCUUCUUUACAAGGGUUUCAUGCCACACUAUAAUGUUUGGACGAGCCACGGAGAAAUAGGGGUUAUGAUGGAAGACGGCGAAGAAGAAAAGUACGAUGACAACUAUGUGCCCCCUGAAUACGGUGAUGCUACUGGAGAUCAAGAGGAACCAGACGAUGUGCACGAUGAUGCUGUAACAGGCGAAGCUGCUGAAGAUCAAGAGGAACCAGACGAUGUGCCCGAUGAUGAUGAUCUUCGCCGGGUCAUUGUCGAUGCAAGGACGCAAUGCGAAAGUCAAAAGGAGAAGCUGAAGUUC
rnacentral:rRNA from 1 species